GCGACUAAAGUUUUAGUAGCCAAAAACGUACUUUCAGCGACAAAAAAUUAUUUUUGUCGCCUUUAGCUAACUUUUUCCGACUAAAAGUUUAGUCGCCUUUAGCUAUUAACAUUUUCAAAGAAAGAUUUUGAAUUUUUGGCGGGCUCCUUAAUUAAUUAACGACGAACCUAUAUUUUAGUCGGGGAAGGGAUGUAAAAUGAAUGGCUAAGAUCGAUCACUUGAAGAACCAAUGGAUGGAGAUCACUACCUCACCAAUAAAAUAUUAGGGUAGGUGAAGAGAAGAAGAGAAGAUGAAGGGGGCGAAGUCGUCCCGUUGCGUCGCCAUCCCGCUGCCGCUCCUCCUCACGUUCGUCGGCAACCGAAGCACCUCCUCCUCCUCCACCAUCGCCAUUGUGACUGCUGCGAUCACCAUUGCCGCCGCUACCACCUGCAUUGCUGCCCUCUUUUCACGCCGCCGCCUCCCCCUCCUCUGCCGAUCUUCGCAGAUCCACCACUGCCGCCGCGAGAUCCAGAGGCUUCAUCGCUGAGAAGAGACUCCAUUGAUGCUCCGUCUCGCGGCACUAUGUUCCCCAGCUUGCAGAACAAAUUUUGCACAAUAAUAAGAAUGCUCCAAAGGAUGACUAUAUAAACCUCAAAGGUUUUAUUAUGACUUUGAUGCGUGGACUUCCAGAGAUAUUUUGGUGUAUAGAGAAGAAAUUGUACUUUUGUAUAGAAGUAAUAUAAUACUUUUGUAAAUGUCGUUUCACAUGGUAUAGUAAAUGUAAUUUUUGUAUAUGGAGGGAGGGCUUUACUUUUUGUAUGAUUCUAUAUUUUGUAUGGAAUUAUUAUUUUAGCAUGCACAAUAAUUGGUUUGUAUGUACUUGGAUAGUUAAAGUAAUUUAUUUUUU